UCGGGAAUUUUGCGCAAUGGGCGAAAGCCUGACGCAGCAACGCCGCGUGAGGGAUGAAGGCCUUCGGGUUGUAAACCUCUUUUCUCAGGGACGAUGAUGACGGUACCUGAGGAAUAAGCCACGGCUAACUACGUGCCAGCAGCCGCGGUAAUACGUAGGUGGCGAGCGUUGUCCGGAUUUACUGGGCGUAAAGAGCGCGCAGGCGGUCGUAUGAGUCGCGUGUGAAAGCCCCCGGCUCAACUGGGGAGGGUCAAGCGAUACUGUUCGACUCGAAGGCAGGAGAGGGAAGCGGAAUUCCCGGUGUAGUGGUGAAAUGCGUAGAUAUCGGGAGGAACACCAGUGGCGAAGGCGGCUUCCUGGCCUGUUCUUGACGCGGAGGCGCGAAAGCUAGGGUAGCAAACGGG
rnacentral:rRNA from 1 species